rnacentral:rRNA from 1 species
UACGUAGGGUGCAAGCGUUAAUCGGAAUUACUGGGCGUAAAGCGUGCGCAGGCGGUUAUGUAAGACAGAUGUGAAAUGCCCGGGCUUAACCUGGGAACUGCAUUUGUGACUGCAAGGCUAGAGUACGGCAGAGGGGGGUGGAAUUCCACGUGUAGCAGUGAAAUGCGUAGAGAUGUGGAGGAACACCAAUGGCGAAGGCAGCCCCCUGGGUCGAUACUGACGCUCAUGCACGAAAGCGUGGGUAGCAAACAGG